rnacentral:rRNA from 1 species
AACGAACGCUGGCGGCAUGCCUAACACAUGCAAGUCGAACGAGACCUUCGGGUCUAGUGGCGCACGGGUGCGUAACGCGUGGGAACCUGCCCUUAGGUUCGGAAUAACUCCCCGAAAGGGGUGCUAAUACCGGAUAAUGUCUUCGGACCAAAGAUUUAUCGCCUUUGGAUGGGCCCGCGUUGGAUUCGCUAGUUGGUAGGGUAAAAGCCUACCAAGGCGACGAUCCAUAGCUGGUCUGAGAGGAUGAUCAGCCACACUGGGACUGAGACACGGCCCAGACUCCUACGGGAGGCAGCAGUGGGGAAUAUUGGACAAGGGGCGAAAGCCUGAUCCAGCAAUGCCGCGUGAGUGAUGAAGGCCUUAGGGUUGUAAAGCUCUUUUACCCGGGAUGAUAAUGACAGUACCGGGAGAAUAAGCGCCGGCCAACUCCGUG